GUGCCAAGUGCUCUAUAAAUGUCUCAUUUGAUUCUUUACCACCAGCCCGGAAGGGGGGUGCUGUUAUUUUUGCCAUCUUACAGAUGAGGAAACUGAGGCAACCAGAGGUGAAGUGACUUGUCUAGGGUUCUUCACCGUCCUGGUUGUCCUCCUGCAGACACUCUCUGGCUUAUUAUUGCCCUUAAACUGGAGAGUCCAGACAGAACCAAACACAAGACUCUGGAUGAGGUCGGAUGAGGACAGCACACAGUGGGCCUCUUAGCUCCUUAUUCCUGGAGACUCUGCCUCUCUCUCUCUCUCUCUGUCUCUGUCUCUGUCUCUCUCUCUAUCUCUCUCUCUCUGUCUCUCCUCUCUCUGUCUCUCUCUCCUCUCUCCUCUGUCUCUGUCUCUGUCUCUGUCUCUCUGUCUCUCCCUCUCUCUCUCUCUCUGUCUCUCUCUCUCUGUCUCUGUCUCUGUCUCUCUCUCUAUCUCUCUCUCUCUGUCUCUCCUCUCUCUGUCUCUCUCCUCUCUCCUCUGUCUCUGUCUCUGUCUCUGUCUCUCUCUCCUCUCUCCUCUCUGUCUCUUCCUCUUCUCU
rnacentral:lncRNA from 1 species